AGAGCUCUCUCUCAAAAUCCCUAAGCUCCGAAAGAAAAAUAGUGCGAAAUCAUGUUUUACUUCUAUAAUUCUAUCUGUCAAAAUCCCCAAGCUCUGAAAGGAAAACAGAUCGAAAUCGCGUUUAACUUCUACAAUUCGAUCCUUUACAAUACCUAGAAACAUUAAUUCUGUCCUCCACACAAGCAAUCUCUUCACCGAUUUUAGGUAAUAUUGGAGAGGGUAGAGCAUUUUGCUCAGUCAGUUUCUGUAUACGAAGAUCAAAUAUUUCAAAAAAGAGCUCGUAUUCAGCAGUGAUUUUAUUAUGAGUAGGCGACUCAUAAGCACCUACAAUGACUGGUAUUCCAAAUUCCGAACUCAACCUGCUGCAGUCAGCAUUUUGGAUAUUUUUGUUGAAUAUGGGAAUGAGGGAAGCAUUGUACUGCUCCAAGCCUGCUUAGAUCAAGUGAAAUUUCAGAGCGAAGACUUUCAGUCAAAGCCAGAUCUUCUAUCAGCUAUCUUUAGAUACUUUUUGGGUAGACCAAAUUUCGCCACAGUUUUCUGUGAAGCACUAAAGUGAUGAGUGAAGGAUUUCUAGAAGGUCACUCCAAGCAAUUGCAUUUGUCUACACCCGAGAAAAUUGCUU